rnacentral:rRNA from 1 species
AGAGUUUGAUCCUGGCUCAGAGCGAACGCUGGCGGCGUGGAUAAGGCAUGCAAGUCGUGCGAUCCGUCGCAAGACGGAGAGCGGCAAACGGGUGAGUAACGCGUAGGAAACCUGCCCUAGAGCGGGGGAUACCCUGGUGAAAACCAGGUUAAUACCGCAUGCACUCUUUUUCUCGCAUGAGAAACUGAGUAAAGGUGGCUGAAACCGCAAGGUUGCUACCGCUGUAGGAGGGUCCUGCGUCCCAUCAGCUUGUUGGUAGGGUAACGGCCUACCAAGGCAUAUGACGGGUAGCUAGCUUGAGAGAGUGCUUAGCCACACUGGGACUGAGACACUGCCCAGACUCCUACGGGAGGCUGCAGUCGAGAAUCAUUGGCAAUGGGCGAAAGCCUGACCAUGCGACGCCGCGUGCGGGAUGAAGGCCCUCGGGUCGUAAACCGCUGUUACGAGGGACGAAGGCUCGUGCUGUAAAUAAUGGCGCGGGCUUGACGGUACCUUGGAAGAAAGCCACGGCAAACUCCGUGCCAGCAGCCGCGGUAAGACGGAGGUGGCGAGCGUUGCUCGGAUUUACUGGGUGUAAAGGGCUCGUAGGCGGUCUCGUAAGCCCUGCCUGAAAGGUUCUGGCUCAACCAGGACAUGCGGUAGGGAACUGCAGGACUUGAGGACGGAAGAGGCGAAUGGAAUUCCCGGUGUAAGGGUGAAAUCUGUAGAUAUCGGGAGGAACACCAGUGGCGAAGGCGGUUCGCUGGUCCGUUUCUGACGCUGAGGAGCGAAAGCUAGGGGAGCAAACAGGAUUAGAUACCCUGGUAGUCCUAGCCGUAAACGAUGGACACUAGGUGUUGGCUCCUAUGGAGUCAGUGCCGCAGGUAACCCGUUAAGUGUCCCACCUGAGGAGUACGGCCGCAAGGUUGAAACUCAAAGGAAUUGACGGGGGCCAGCACAAGCGGUGGAACAUGUGGUUUAAUUCGAUGCUACGCGAAGAACCUUACCCAGGCUUGACAUGCAAGCAGUAGGAACCUGAAAGGGGGACGACCCGUAACCAGACCGGGAACUUGCACAGGUGCUGCAUGGCUGUCGUCAGCUCGUGCCGUGAGGUGUUGGCUUAAGUGCCAAAACGAGCGCAACCAUUGCGACUAGUUGCCACCAGGUCCCGCAAGGGAUGCUGAGCACUCUAUUCGGACCGCCGGCGAUGAGCUGGAGGAAGGUGGUGAUGACGUCAAGUCCGUACGGCCUUUAUGCCUGGGGCAACACACGUGUUACAAUGGAGCGGACAAUGCGCUGCGAGCCCGCGAGGGUCAGCUAAUCGCCUAAACCGUUCCUCAGUUCGGAUCGUAGGCUGCAAUUCGCCUACGUGAAGCUGGAAUCGCUAGUAACGGCGGAUCAGCACGCCGCCGUGAAUACGUUCCCUGGCCUUGUACACACCGCCCGUCAAGCGAUGGAAGCUGGAAGCACCCGAAGUCGGUGUCCCAACCCGCAAGGGAGGAAGCCGCCGAAGGUGAGGCUGGUGACUGGCGCUAAGUCGUAACAAGGUAACC